rnacentral:tRNA from 1 species
GGGCCCGUAGCUCAGCCCGGAAGAGCGGCGGGCUUUUAACCCGUAGGUCCCGGGUUCAAAUCCCGGCGGGCCCGCCA